rnacentral:rRNA from 1 species
AAAAACUGAGGUGGUAUACGAUGGUUCCGCGUCUGAUUAGCUAGUUGGUGGGGUAAAAGCCUACCAAGGCAACGAUCAGUAGCCGGCCUGAGAGGGUGAACGGCCACAUUGGGACUGAGACACGGCCCAAACUCCUACGGGAGGCAGCAGUGGGGAAUAUUGCACAAUGGGGGAAACCCUGAUGCAGCGACGCCGCGUGAGUGAAGAAGUAUUUCGGUAUGUAAAGCUCUAUCAGCAGGGAAGAAAUACUGACCAUAGGGUCAGCAGACGGUACUUGACUAAGAAGCCCCGGCUAACUACGUGCCAGCAGCCGCGGUAAUACGUAGGGGGCAAGCGUUAUCCGGAUUUACUGGGUGUAAAGGGAGCGUAGACGGCAGCGCAAGUCUGAAGUGAAAUGCCAGGGCUUAACCCUGGAACUGCUUUGGAAACUGUGCAGCUAGAGUGCAGGAGAGGUAAGUGGAAUUUCUAGUGUAGCGGUGAAAUGCGUAGAUAUUAGGAGGAACACCAGUGGCGAAGGCGGCUUACUGGACUGUAACUGACGUUGAGGCUCGAAAGCGUGGGGAGCAAACAGGAUUAGAUACCCUGGU